GAUGAAGAACGCAGCGAAAAGCGAUAAGUAAUGUGAAUUGCAGAAUUCAGUGAAUCAUCGAAUCUUUGAACGCACAUUGCGCCCCCUGGUAUUCCGGGGGGCAUGCCUGUUCGAGCGUCAUUUCACCACUCAAGCCUCGCUUGGUAUUGGGCAACGCGGUCCGCCGCGUGCCUCAAAUCGACCGGCUGGGUCUUCUGUCCCCUAAGCGUUGUGGAAACUAUUCGCUAAAGGGUGUUCGGGAGGCUACGCCGUAAAACAACCCCAUUUCUAAGGUUGACCUCGGAUCAGGUAGGGAUACCCGCUGAACUUAAGCAUAUCAAUAAGCGGAGGA
rnacentral:misc_RNA from 1 species